rnacentral:rRNA from 1 species
AACGAACGCUGGCGGCAUGCCUAACACAUGCAAGUCGAACGAGACCUUCGGGUCUAGUGGCGCACGGGUGCGUAACGCGUGGGAACCUGCCCUAGGUUCGGAAUAACUCCCCGAAAGGGGUGCUAAUACCGGAUAAUGUCUUCGGACCAAAGAUUUAUCGCCUUUGGAUGGGCCCGCGUUGGAUUAGCUAGUUGGUAGGGUAAAAGCCUACCAAGGCGACGAUCCAUAGCUGGUCUGAGAGGAUGAUCAGCCACACUGGGACUGAGACACGGCCCAGACUCCUACGGGAGGCAGCAGUGGGGAAUAUUGGACAAUGGGCGAAAGCCUGAUCCAGCAAGGCCGCGUGAGUGAUGAAGGCCUUAGGGUUGUAAAGCUCUUUUACCCGGGAUGAUAAUGACAGUACCGAGAGAAUAAGCUCCGGCUAACUCCGUG